GUCGAGGGGCAGCGGGGUAGUGCUUGCACUACUGCCGGCGACCGGCGCACGGGUGAGUAACACGUAUGGAACCUGCCCGCAGCAGGGGGAUAAGCGGAAGAAAUUCCGUCUAAUACCGCGUAACAACGUUGGGAGGCAUCUCCCGAUGUUUAAAGAUUUAUCGGCUGCGGAUGGCCAUGCGGCGCAUUAGCUAGUCGGCGGGGUAACGGCCCACCGAGGCGACGAUGCGUAGGGGUUCUGAGAGGAAGGUCCCCCACACUGGUACUGAGACACGGACCAGACUCCUACGGGAGGCAGCAGUGAGGAAUAUUGGUCAAUGGCCGAGAGGCUGAACCAGCCAAGUCGCGUGAGGGAAGACGGCCCUACGGGUUGUAAACCUCUUUUGUCGGGGAGCAAAGAGAGCCACGUGUGGUUCAUUGAGAGUACCCGAAGAAAAAGCAUCGGCUAACUCCGUGCCAGCAGCCGCGGUAAUACGGAGGAUGCGAGCGUUAUCCGGAUUUAUUGGGUUUAAAGGGUGCGCAGGCGGAGGUGCAAGUCAGCGGCAAAUUGCGGGGCUCAACCCCGUACUGCCGUUGAAACUGCAUCCCUUGAGUGCGCGAGAAGUAUGCGGAAUGCGUGGUGUAGCGGUGAAAUGCAUAGAUAUCACGCAGAACUCCGAUUGCGAAGGCAGCAUACCGGCGCGCAACUGACGCUCAUGCACGAAAGCGUGGGUAUCGAACAGGAUUAGAUACCCUGGUAGUCCACGCAGUAAACGAUGAACACUAACUGUUCGGCCAAAGUGAUGGCUGAGUGGUACAGCGAAAGCGU
rnacentral:rRNA from 1 species